AGAGCCUGUGCUCCGCGGCGGGAGAGGCCGCAGCAGUGAGAGGCCCGCGUGCCGCAAAAAAAAAAACAAACAAAACACACAGACCAUUCUGAUUGUCUCCAUACUGACUAACACUGUACUUACUAAGUGGCUUUGUUUUAAGUGACUGCAAACCACACCAAAAAGAAAAGGUUUGAGGAAAUAUUUCCAACCCUUAAUCAAAGGUCAGAAAUCACUUUGAUGACAGGAUAUCGAAUGUCACUUUAUCUUCCUGCCUAGUCCUCGCAAAUCAAUAAGGAUUGAAAAAUGCAGAAAGUGUUUGGACAGUACUCACAAAUUCAAAUUCAGAUCUGGAAACUGCAGCUUGAUAAGUACCAACUGACAAAUUACCCAAGAAAGAGAAUCAGAAAGAAACCAAAGAGGGCCAAAAUUUACAAGUCUGUCCUCCAAGAUCAUUGACUUACUUGAUACUCAGUUAAAACUUUUAAAAAGUCAUCUAUAGAGCCAAGGCAGUGGAACAAUUUUUAAAUCAACUAUCAGAGUCUAUUUCAUUUUUUCAAUCAUACAAUUCCAUAAACCUCAAACAUUUCUUUUGUGCAGAGUAUUAUACUAGGCACCCUAAGAAAGUAUGAAGAAUUCAAGACAAGUUAAUUUCAAGAAAAUUAGCACUAGCCCUGAACGUAGUCAGGAAGAGUCCAGCUAUGGUACACUAAUUAAAUUAACCUUCCAUUUCGGUCUAGAGACGUUUUAUCAGUUUGAGACUGCUAAGCGGAGCCGUUCUGAAAAAUAUCCAGGAACAUUCCUUUAAUAGAAAUAGAACUGCUCAUUUUCUUAACUUCACAUUCUAUCUUUCACCAACGAGAUAAAUGGAUACAAACUCAACUAACAUCUCCAGAGUCUACAAUGCACCAAAGCCUGUGUGAGACUGACAUACGGUCUUUUGUUUCAGCAUUUCAAGUUGGGAUAAACUUGUUCCAAAAAUAAUUUGCCUUCCCAUUCCUGAAUUUUUUUCUACUGGGUGUGGAUAUUAGUUCAUCACUGAAUUUUCUUAACUCUGCCUAAUGUUCUUUCGACUUUGAGGCAUCUGGCUGUAUUUCAGUGAGUUACAACUCCAGCUGUCACAUUUUAACAGCCAAAAAAGAGAAGACCUCAAUGCCCAUGUCUGAGUACACAAUGUUCUCUUCAUUUCAACAUCAAAUAGUCACCAAAGAGGAGACCUCGAAGGCUUUCUUCUUUUGAAAAUUCGAAUUUCAUUGUUUCAGAGAAUGGAGGGGCUUCACCUUUAACUUGGUCUUCCAGAACACAUGAAGCCCCGGCGUGAUCCUGGUAUCACUCCAGUGGGUAUGGGUUGAAGGUGCUUUAUGUUGGGAACCAGUUGGUCCUCAUAACACUCCUCAUAAUACUUGAUUACCAAUGUAAGCCUCAAGCCAAUAAAACCACAUUAAGUCUGACAGGAAUUUAAAGAUUUAUUUUGAAACAAUUCUUUAUGCACUGCUGAAAAACUUUCCCUUCCCUAACUGGAGUGAAAAGUUUCUCCCUUUGUGGGAUACCCAACAAUAGAAAAUUUAAUGAGAUAGGAAGGCAUUCCACCUCAGUGACUUCCUAAGGUUGAAUCUGCUAUUCUUCUAAAUGUAAAUUUUGAAUUCACACAGUUUCCUACAAUAAUUCCACUUUUAUUCUUCAAUUUUUGUCUGGUUUUUUUUUGUUUGUUUUUUUUUGCGGUACGCGGGCCUCUCACUGUUGUGGCCUCUCCCGUUGCGGAGCACAGGCUCCGGACGCGCAGGCUCAGCGGCCGUGGCUCACGGGACCAGCCGCUCUGCGGCAUGUGGGAUAUUCCCAGACUGGGGCACGAACCCGUGUCCCCUGCAUCAGCAGGCAGACUCUCAACCACUGCGCCAAGAGGGAAGCCCUAUUCUUCAAUUUUUAUACUUAGUGACAACCUUUUAGGAGAAAGAGACAGCCAGCAGUGAUUUUAUACUAAAGUGUGUGAAUACAGACAGGAUGCACACUGACCAGGAGAAAGAUAUUAAAAGAUAUAAGUAUUCUAAAGGAAGAUGAAAAAAGGAUUGCAUUUGCUGCAGAUUCAACUGUCUUUUCAAACGCCUCCCUUGUUAUGGAGAAAAUGACUCCUCAGAAAGAUUUUUACAAAAAGACUUAAAUCCCAUCCCUAGCCAUCAUCUGGUUUGCCACAGCCCAAAUGUCUCAUUAGCAAUCUGAAAUUGCACAUGGUUGGAGAAAAUAUAGCAAGAGGAUGUAGACAUUGCCAUGGGGAAAAGAAAGAAAAAAAGAAAAAGCAACCAUGACAAACUCUGCUUAUGUAAACAAGGAAUGUUUUAGUGGAAUAAAUGUAAGCUUUCUCUUGAAGGAAUCCCAGUUAGAAUGUCAUCAGAAAUGACAAAACCAUGGCAACAUCACAGCAGUAAGAUAUUCCAGUUUUAUUAGCACUGAGGCAAAAAGCCAUAUUUGUCAGGGGGGGAAAGGUAAACAAAAGUUCCUGGCAUUGCAACAGAUGAAGUGAUCUCGCGAGCCUCGUUGUUGAGAGAGAAAAUUAAAAGAUAGUAUUUUUGUCCUAACUAUAGUACUGUCUAACUUCCACCUGGGGAAAAAAUUACUUUUCCUUCUCUCAUUAUAUGUCUUUAUGUAGAGCUGCUAUUCAGUUACAGUAGGCAUCAUAUUUUUAUAUUUCCGUUAAGUCCCUCAUGUUGAAUUUGACCCUCAUUUCACAUUUGAUUAGGAAAUCCUAAAUUGGAAAGGUAGAUUUUUCUGCCUUUUUUUAAAACAAAUCCGUGCCAUAAGCAUUUUCUAGAGGUGACUGCCUUAAAGCCAUCCUGGUAGCCCUGUCGAUCAUCAGUAGGUGCUUGGUUUAAGGCAGAGAACCCAUAAAUAAAUGGAGCUCUCCUUCUGCACAGGGAGUGGCCCCUUCUGACAAAGUCAUGUCUGUUUUUCCUCAACCCCUUGUGCCAGUCCAGCCUCUUGAUCGACCCAGGUCCACCUGUCAGUCAAAAGAACCGCCAACUCUAAUUACACGUGCUGACAGCUUGUUGAACCGAAUUCCUCAUCAAUGGGAUUUCAUGGAGAGGCCCUCGCUGUUCUUGUUCACUCUUUACUCUUUUAUAUAGGUCCUUACAUUUGGUAGGCUGUACAAAAGAUUGUACUAGAAAAAGUCAACAGACCUUUGUGUUCAGUGAAGAAACUACGAACAAAUUUAGCUGUUAUCAUGUUAAUCCUCCUGAGGUCUCAGGGAGGAUAUCACCUGUGUGGCGAGAGAGACUUAAUGCUAUUCCUAAAAUACUACUCCCUGAAGAAAGGCCAUAGAGUCUUCCGCAAAUAGCCUUUUGGGACUCAAAUUUAGUGAUGUAUAAAAAGCAUAUUCUCUUCAGAGGAAGGUCAUAGGUUAGAGCACGAGUUUGAGUCGUAUUUCACUUUGGGGUUUGCUGUAUAUGCUAAUAUGAGACUUAAACUUCUGCACCUCUAGUUUCUCAAGAAUUAAACUAGCACCAAUUGAAUCUGUCCCUUGCCUACAUUAUAAGAAUGCCUCAGAAAAAAAUCCAACACUGACCUUCACAUUCCAAAUGGAAAGGCUUUGUCCUGGGAGUGCAAUUAAGGUGAUUGAAUAACUAGUGUGUUUUAGGAUAAGCUACUACAGUGGUUCGUAACAUUUGGUCCCCAACAAGGCAGCAUCAGCAGCAACUUUGCAAUUUGUUGGGUAUAUAAAUUCCCUGUUCCCACCUGAGACCCCAACCCAGACCUAUGAAUCAGAAAUUCUGGGAGUGGGCCCAGCAAUGUGGGUUUUAACAAGCCCUUGGGAUGAUUCCGAUGUACGUUCAAGUUUGAGAACUACAAACAGUGCUCUGAGUGGUCAAGAAAAGUUCAUGUCACCCACUGUUUAACUCUGCUUCCUCACAGGAAAAAGCUUAAGUGAUAGAUUCCAUCUAGGCCCAAUACCUUCUGAUAUAUGGACAGAAAUGCCCACCAUUCAGACAUAAAAUAUAAUCUGAAGGAAAAUUAAUCCUUACAAACGUUCUUCACUGGUGUUAACAGCUUCAGGCAGGAUCUCCAAUCAGAAAGAUUUCUCAUCAGCUCUUCUAGUUCUUUGAAAAAACCAACAGCAAAUCCGCUUUGCCUGACUGCCCAGGGCCUAGAGAAUGACCUUGGACACCUUUCCCUUAAUUGAUCAGCUCUGGCCCAUUUACCUUAAUGCUAAGCCAUCAUGUAACAGAACUGAGUUAUAUUUAAUGACAUGGUCUAUUGGUUUGAAGAAUGGGUGUGGACUGAGCUCAAAUGACUAGUGGUUCUAAGUGUGUUUGGGUUUUCGAAGAUAGUGUCAAAGGCUCACAUAGCUCAUAAAACCUGGAAACCACAGACAAUGUAGACAUCAAUCCCAAGACCCCUGGGAGCUUUCUUCUAGGCUCAUUUGAAUUGGUGCAGAACCAGAGUGGAAGGCCAGCAAGUAACUUGGCUUAUAAAAAUGGCUUAGGAAAGGGAAUUUAAGAUUGUGGGCUGUGUGUGUGCAUGCAUGUGUGUGUGCUUCCUUAAAUCUAACCUGAAAAUAACACAUUUACAGCUACCUAAAACAUCCAUAUGUAUUUUGACCCCUCUUUUUUUUUUAAAACAUCUUUAUUGGAGUAUAAUUGCUUUAGAAUGGUGUGUUAGUUUCUGCUUUAUAACAGAGUGAAUCAGCUAUAUGUAUACAUAUCUCCUCCCUCUUGCGUCUCCCUCCCACCCUCCCCAUCCCACCCCUCUAGGGGUUGACCCCUCUUUUUGAUGCAGAAAAGUAAAUUCAGAGUAGCGGAAAGGAGGCCUAAAAUGGAACCUCAACAAUGAUAUUCUGAAGGAAAAUGCUAAACUAUACCCCCAGGCCUUCCUUUGAAGGAACGACAUUUGUCAGAUAUCUUGGAAUGACUGCCUGCUUUUUUUCAGGAAUUACUGGAAAAGAAUAACUGAUGUAUCAUAAUGUUCUACCUUCUUCUCUAAAAUCUGUGUUGCAUUUGGGUGUCCCGUUUUCUGUCUCUGACAGCAUUUUCUCAUUGGCUCUUUCCCCAGCUGUGACCUGAUCACCACACAACUCCAGCUAAAACACCGCCCCCCCUUCCUCUGUCUCCACCAUUGUGUCCAUUUCCAUCUGCAUAUUCUGUCUUUUACUCAAAGUUAAAGCCUCACUGAGAAGAUACUUCUUAGAAUAAUCACCAAAUGUCAAGGUGCUUGGCGAUGGAACAUGCACAUUUGCAGGGGAGGGGCUGGGUCAGACUGACUGGGACUCACUCAGAUCCAGAGCCUUGACCUCCCUUCCAGACCUCUGUAGUCCACAAGGCAAAAUUACAGUGGUGGCUUGGCUUUGUCGACAAUCCAUGGUUUAUGUUAUGGACUCAAGUCUUGAAAUCCUGAAACAAACCUGGAUUAAAAAUUUCCCUUGGAAAGUUUAAGAGAAAAAGUUACAUGCUCUAAAGCCCAUUAACUUAUGUGAAACAUUAAAAAGGCCUUGACAUGACAAGGUAACAGAUAGUUGCUUUAAUCUCCCAACAGCUUCUGCCUUUCAGUGCCAUUCAUGGUGAUUUUCGUAGGCCAGGGGUGUAAUUCGCUAUUAUUCUAAUAAGCCAUAAAAAUAACUGUUGGCACAACUCUUAUUCCAACAGGGAUUUUCCUGGAUUUCACCCAUUAAUUUUUGUAGACAGUAGGAAGCUCACACUGAGGAGACAUUUUGAGCUUCCUAGAGGAGGACAAGAGAAGGAACUAGCAUCUUGUACACACUAUUUAUCUGCACAAAACACUGCUCGGUCCCACUGGGAGUGUUCCCCCCAGGGCAGGCGAGAUGGAAGAAUUCAGGUAGGAAAUAAAUUUAGAAUGUCUCUCUCACCUUUGAUGGUUAGGAUGGCAAUGCCUUCCUACCGAAGAAGCUUGGUAGAUACUUUUGAUAGUAAACUGAACUCAUAGGCAAUCCAUAAAGAAAAGGGAGGCAGAUCACUGUGCCAGAAACUCUUCCAAAGAGGUGAUCAUGAAUUCCCCACACAGGACAGAAAAGGAAAGACCAGCGCAUGUGCACAUUUUAAAGGACCCACCAAAAAUAGCCUCCAAACACAGGCUGCGGGCGGGAGAGUGGAAAGGAGAGAGGCCAAAGUGGAGAGAAGGAGUUCGUGCCUCGAAAAAUGAAGUGAGCAAUCCUAAUGUCCCUCUAGUUGAUCCUGAAGGGAGAGUCACCUGUCUAAAGCUGAUUUUUAAAUAAUUUCACCACUUUGGAAUUCCUGAGUAGUGGUAUGUCAGUAAUACAUUUGGCUACUUAACUGAAUUUUUCAGGUUUUAUUCUUCCAUGCCAAUGAAUGUAAUCUCUAAGACUUGCCAUUUUUAAGUACACACACACACACACACACACACACACACAGGUAAAUGCAUUCUAUAUUACUCAUUUUGUGGGAAACACAAUGUACUAUAAUCAAAAAGAUUCCAGUGGAUUCUUUCAGUGUGUUUCAGUGAUAAUAUUUGGUAUGAAAUAAAGGUAUUCAGACCCUCUCUUUACUGACCAUAUUGUCAAAAUUACGAUCUUAAGCAGCUCUGUUAGAAAUGCCUGUGUGAAAUAGCAUCUCUAGUAUGAGUCAAUACACUUAUUUAACUUUCAAAAAGAAUAUGUGCUAAACUUAAAUAUUUUUAUAUCUGUGGUGUUUUCCUAUUAACCUAUAGUUGUAAACAAGUGAGCUUACAACUGAUUAUCACAAAGGAAAAUGGCCUACACAAGACGUUAAAAGUAGAGGAAGUUAUUUAUAAAGUGUUCUGCCAAAGACCAUUUAAUGAUCUGUAAAACGUAGAUUAACUUCUUUUAUCAUGAAUGUGAUUGUAAGAAAUGCUCACCCUCUCAUCCUCUAUCUUUUGAAAAUUAAUAUUUUGUAUUUCUAAGGACCAAGGAAAAUGUUUUUUAAGCCAAUGUAAUACACAGACCCCUUGGAAAUGAGAGAUAUUGAUACAAUGACUCAGAUCAACCGUGUAAUGUUAGAUUAGAAGUCUGACAUCCGAUGGUAAAUUUAUCAGUCUUUCCUAUAAUUCUUAUACUGCACUAAAUUACAUUUGGGAAAUUCAACUAAUCUCUUCAAAUUAAAGGCACCAAUAUUAACAGUAGAUCUCAACAUGGAAAGCAUUAAAGUACUCCCUUUCAAGCACCUUGAGCGGAUGGAAAUUACCCCCUAAUUUUCCCACCUACCAUCUCACGUACGUUAACUCAGAGGUCUAACAAUGUCGCGUAGAAGGUUAACAGACUCUGUACACCGAGGAUAUUCAAUUUGUGCAGUUAGUAAGAACUAGCCAUUUAAAAAUAGAUUCAAAUGUUUUGUAAAUAAAAUUUUUGAUGCCUAUAGUUUUGUUCAAACUACUAUCUUUUAAAAUAAUUAGAUAUUAUUUGAAUUUUAAAAAUAAUCUAUUAUAAGUUAGAUGUUGCUUUAUUGACUCUGUGAUUCAGCGUACACUCAGCCAUAUUCCUGUGGGGAAACAGCAAUCUUACGUUCUUGGCAUAAGCCAAAUCUUCAUAGAUUAUUUAAGGACUCUAAAUAUGAGAUGAAAAACAAAAACAAACAAAAAAACAAAACACCAAAAUUAAAUGCUAGUGAAGAAAUUAGAAACCUAUUGUAUAAAAUGUAUUUUUAAAAUCUUAAGAUAUAUGUGAUUUACACUGCCUGUUAAUCUAGUCUCUUUGUGAAAUAACCACAGCAUAAUAUUUGUUUAGACUCUGAAACACCAAAUAUUUGUGAUGUUUGCAUAGCACCAUUGUUAUAAUAUGUGAUUUCAAAUGGUAAGCAUCUUUGUUGUAAUCAUGUGAAUCCACAGAAGAAUAAAUUCCUGCUGUUAAUGUACAACCAGCUCUCAGAAUUCAGAUUUCCUGCAGCUGCUGUAUCACCAAUAAAUGAGAAUUAAUUGUGAAAACAAUUUUUAAAGAAUUGAGUUUAUGAUCACUGUGCAUUUUCCUGAUGAAUGAAUUCAGAGAGUUUUAUUUUUACCAGAAAUGCUCUCUCUGUCAGUCAGUAAAUACAACUGCUGAUUCCAACCAUACCAUCAUUUCAAUGGUUUCUGUAUGGUUGAUCUAACUACCCCAAACUGGAAGCUUGUUGCAAGAUGUGUCCUAACAAAUGUACAAUAAAUGACUUUUCCUGCAUGCUGCCUGAGAUAUACUGUAAUUUGAAAUGUCUUAUCCAACAAAUUAUAUAUUUCAUAACCCCAAAUUGAACUGGCAAUAUUUCUCAUGUUUAUGACUAAUGGUAUGUUAAUAUCAAAAUCAGAAGCACUGUCAUACAUGUAUGUUACAUGUGGCAUUUAACUUGUUAAACUGUAAUCAGUGAAGUGUUCAUUGCCUGAACUAGUCAAUUCUGUACAAAUCAUUGUCUUAACUGUUUUCCGAAUCUUACCAUAUUUCCUAACACUUAAAUAUAAAUGUUUGUAAAUUA